UACGGAGGGAGCUAGCGUUGUUCGGAAUUACUGGGCGUAAAGCGCGCGUAGGCGGCUUUGUAAGUUAGAGGUGAAAGCCCGGGGCUCAACUCCGGAACUGCCUUUAAGACUGCAUCGCUUGAAUCCGGGAGAGGUGAGUGGAAUUCCGAGUGUAGAGGUGAAAUUCGUAGAUAUUCGGAAGAACACCAGUGGCGAAGGCGGCUCACUGGACCGGCAUUGACGCUGAUGUGCGAAAGCGUGGGGAGCAAACAGG
rnacentral:rRNA from 1 species